rnacentral:rRNA from 1 species
AGNAUAAANUUUAUACUGUGAAACUGCGAACGGCUCAUUACAUCUUAUAAUUUAUUUGAUGGUACCUUACCNAUGGAUACCCGGAAUAAUUCCNAAACUAAUACAUGGCUAAAAUCCCGACUCUCUGGGANGGGAUGUNUUUNUUNNAUACNANAUUANGCCGACUUCCGGGCAUUCCAGUUGAGAAAACUUGUGUNCUGACCGGUCCUGGUCCUGUGAACAACAAUAUUGCGAUCCACUUUUACCCUUCUAAUCUUUCAACGGUUAGGCGGUGAAUAACCAUGCAACUCUGCCAGGGUAAUUACGGUANUAUAGAGGACUACCGUGGUUACAGGGUAACGGGGAAUCGNCGAUUCAUUCGAAUUUCUGCCCCAUCAACUCUCGAUGGUAGGAUAGAGGCCUACCAUGGUCGCAACGGGUAACGGGGAAANGGNCGNCNGUGGUCAGAUUUAGUGAGUCAUCCGCNUUUUNACGUUUUUUGUNUNUUNUUUNUCUUUGGGUUG